CCAUGAGUAAAGUGGCGACCGGGUGAGUAACACGUGACUAACCUACCCUUGAGUGGGGGAUAACCUCGGGAAACCGGGGCUAAUACCGCAUAAAAUCCUUGAAGUGGAAACUUUGGGGAUCAAAGGAGCAAUUCGCUUAAGGAGGGGGUCGCGGCUGAUUAGCUAGUUGGCGGGGUAAUGGCCCACCAAGGCUUUGAUCGGUAGCCGGCCUGAGAGGGCGCACGGCCACACUGGAACUGAAACACGGUCCAG
rnacentral:rRNA from 1 species